rnacentral:misc_RNA from 1 species
AAAGUCGUAACAAGGUUUCCGUAGGUGAACCUGCGGAAGGAUCAUUACAAAUACUUGGUUAACGCCAACAUUUCUUGUGCAACUGAAUGACGCUGCCAGUGUUUCAGGUCGGCCCUUGGGUCGUGUUGAUACCUGGCAGCAGACCGUGUAUUCAUGAAAAUACAAUUGGUGAUUCAAUACAUGAUUGUGGAUCACGGUCAGCAGGCUUUCUAAUGUUGUCCUCUGGGCAGCAGGCGAAGUCUGUCUUUUAAACUAUUAUACAUCAGUCUUAUUUAUCCGUCAUCAGAGAGUAUCCUCAACGUGUGAAAUUUGAUGACACAAAAGGGUUAAAAACUUUUAGCAACGGAUCUCUAGGCUCUC